CAGUAGGGAAUCUUCCGCAAUGGACGAAAGUCUGACGGAGCAACGCCGCGUGAGUGAUGAAGGUUUUCGGAUCGUAAAGCUCUGUUGUUAGGGAAGAACAAGUGCCGUUCAAAUAGGGCGGCACCUUGACGGUACCUAACCAGAAAGCCACGGCUAACUACGUGCCAGCAGCCGCGGUAAUACGUAGGUGGCAAGCGUUGUCCGGAAUUAUUGGGCGUAAAGGGCUCGCAGGCGGUUUCUUAAGUCUGAUGUGAAAGCCCCCGGCUCAGCCGGGGAGGGUCAUUGGAAACUGGGGAACUUGAGUGCAGAAGAGGAGAGUGGAAUUCCACGUGUAGCGGUGAAAUGCGUAGAGAUGUGGAGGAACACCAGUGGCGAAGGCGACUCUCUGGUCUGUAACUGACGCUGAGGAGCGAAAGCGUGGGGAGCGAAGAGGAUUAGAUACCCUGGUAGUCCACGCCGUAAACGAUGAGUGCUAAGUGUUAGGGGGUUUCCGCCCCUUA
rnacentral:rRNA from 1 species